UAUGAGGGGAACUGUGGCUGUUCAAGA
rnacentral:misc_RNA from 1 species